AUUGAACGCUGGCGGCAGGCCUAACGCAUGCAAGUCGAGCGGAUGAAGGGAGCUUGCUCCUGGAUUCUGCGGCGGACGGGUGAGUAAUGCCUAGGAAUCUGCCUGGUAGUGGGGGAUAACGUCCGGAAACGGGCGCUAAUACCGCAUACGUCCUGAGGGAGAAAGUGGGGGAUCUUCGGACCUCACGCUAUCAGAUGAGCCUAGGUCGGAUUAGCUAGUUGGUGGGGUAAAGGCCUACCAAGGCGACGAUCCGUAACUGGUCUGAGAGGAUGAUCAGUCACACUGGAACUGAGACACGGUCCAGACUCCUACGGGAGGCAGCAGUGGGGAAUAUUGGACAAUGGGCGAAAGCCUGAUCCAGCCAUGCCGCGUGUGUGAAGAAGGUCUUCGGAUUGUAAAGCACUUUAAGUUGGGAGGAAGGGCAGUAAGUUAAUACCUUGCUGUUUUGACGUUACCAACAGAAUAAGCACCGGCUAACUUCGUG
rnacentral:rRNA from 1 species